AAUAAAAUACCUUACCAAAGAGGGCUGCUCUGAUACGGCAGACGUGCAUUUAGCUUUUAUUA
rnacentral:tRNA from 1 species